rnacentral:piRNA from 1 species
UAUUUUAGGACAAUGUGCUUGUGUCAGAUU